GUGACAACAUGUACCGAUGUUUCCUUGCAGGGAUGCAUCAGGAUCAAAGAAAUGAUUAUUCUUUCCUUGUGUUCAUUGGAAAAGAAAAGUCUGAUACAGUUUCCUGAGUGAUCUAUCCUGAGUGUCUGUGGGGUUUUCCUGCCGUCUAUUCUGCAAUAGCGAAUGACGCGGAUCUUCCUAACAUAGUGCUUGAUAACUUUCUGGUUGGACGACUCAUGGCGAAAGCAUUGAGCUCAUCCUUAGUCGAUUUGAAAGUGCAUCAGAUUGCUCGUUUGGUUUGAAGUAACCUAAUGAGCUAUGACACAGAAGAAGCACCAGCCCUUGCCUGAGCCUCUAAAGAACAUGGCAAAGAAGAUUUGGGGACCUGUGUUUGAAUCCCAGCUUUGGACCUUGCCCACUGGAUGACUCUGUCAAGUUUCUUACCCUCUGUGAGCCUUAAGUACUACAUUUGCAAAAUGUUGGAUAAUCACACAUGCUUUGUAGAGUUGUUAUAAAGAAUGAAUAAGAGGAAU